rnacentral:rRNA from 1 species
GGCGACCGCUAUUGGAGUUCGAUUAAGCCAUGCGAGUAGAAAGAAAUUAGAUUCUUUGCAUACUGCUCAGUAACACGUGGAUAACCUGCCCUACACAGGGGGAUAAUCUUGGGAAACUGAGGAUAAUACCCCAUAGACCACUACGCCUGGAACGGUGAGUGGCUGAAAGCUCAGGCGGUGUAGGAUGGGUCUGCGGCGUAUCAGGUCGUAGGGGGUGUAAUGGACCUCCUAGCCAUCGACGCGUACGGGUUGUGGGAGCAAUAGCCCGGAGACGGAUUCUGAGACACGAAUCCGGACCCUACGGGGUGCAGCAGGCGCGAAAACUUCACACUGCAGGAAACUGUGAUGAGGGAACUCCAAGUGACUGCCCAAUGGGUAGCCUUUUCUUGAAUCUUAAUAGUUCUUGGAAUAAGGGCUGGGAAAGACCGGUGCCAGCCGCCGCGGUAAUACCGGCAGCUCAAGUGGUCGUCGCUUUUAUUGGGCCUAAAACGUCCGUAGCCUGUUUGGUAAAUCUGUGGGUAAAUCAACGAGCUUAACUCGUUGAAUUCUGCAGAGACUGCCAGACUAGGGACCGGGAGAGGUAUGAGGUACUCUGGGGGUAGGGGUAAAAUCCUGUCAUCCUCAGAGGACCACCUGUUGCGAAGGCGUCAUACUGGAACGGAUCCGACGGUCAGGGACGAAGCCUAGGGGCACGAACCGGAUUAGAUACCCGGGUAGUCCUAGGUGUAAACGCUGUGGAUUUGGUGUGUGGGGUCCGCAAUGGGCCCCAUGUGCCGGAGUGAAGGUGUUAAAUCCACUGCCUGGGGAGUCCGGUCGCAAGGCUGAAACUUAAAGGAAUUGGCGGGGGAGCACUGCAACGGGAGGAGCGUGCGGUUU